rnacentral:rRNA from 1 species
GACGAGCGCUGGCGGCGUGCUUAACACAUGCAAGUCGAGCGGUAAGGCCCCUUCGGGGGUACACGAGCGGCGAACGGGUGAGUAACACGUGAGCAAUCUGCCCAUCACAUCGGGAUAACUCCGGGAAACCGAAGCUAAUACCGAAUACGACCACCUCCGGCAUCGGAUGGUGGUGGAAAGUUCCGGCGGUGAUGGAUGAGCUCGCGGCCUAUCAGCUUGUUGGUGGGGUAACGGCCCACCAAGGCUUCGACGGGUAGCCGGCCUGAGAGGGUGACCGGCCACACUGGGACUGAGACACGGCCCAGACUCCUACGGGAGGCAGCAGUGGGGAAUAUUGGACAAUGGGCGAAAGCCUGAUCCAGCAACGCCGCGUGAGGGAUGACGGCCUUCGGGUUGUAAACCUCUUUCAGCAGGGACGAAGCGCAAGUGACGGUACCUGCAGAAGAAGCACCGGCCAACUACGUG